rnacentral:lncRNA from 1 species
AUGGUAACACAGACACUUGGCAUGAGAUUGACAGGUUCUGUUAACAGCUGGAGAAAAGAAAAGGAAUUAUCAGCUACUUGGUCAGACCAAUCACAUAAAUACAAGCCUUGCAGCUCUAUCCAAUGGUGUUAUAGCCAUGCCAAGCAAAGGAGGAUUUCCCUCGCUUCUUGGAAGAAGACCCUGAUAAUUAAUUCCCUUCGUAGCCCUUGUAUCCAUGCUUCUUCUCCACUUGAACAUUAUUAACUUUAAUUUUUUAGUCUCUUCUAUUCAAAAGCACCUAAAAUCAGGAUCAGUUUAUUGUAAUAAAAAUGUUUUUACUGCACUGCUGUCA